rnacentral:rRNA from 1 species
GUGGCGAACGGGUGAGUAACACGUGAGCAACCUGCCCCUGACUCUGGGAUAAGCGCUGGAAACGGCGUCUAAUACCGGAUAUGAGCUGCGAUCGCAUGGUCAGCAGUUGGAAAGAUUUUUCGGUCUGGGAUGGGCUCACGGCCUAUCAGCUUGUUGGUGAGGUAAUGGCUCACCAAGGCGUCGACGGGUAGCCGGCCUGAGAGGGUGACCGGCCACACUGGGACUGAGACACGGCCCAGACUCCUACGGGAGGCAGCAGUGGGGAAUAUUGCACAAUGGGCGAAAGCCUGAUGCAGCAACGCCGCGUGAGGGAUGACGGCCUUCGGGUUGUAAACCUCUUUUAGCAGGGAAGAAGCGAAAGUGACGGUACCUGCAGAAAAAGCGCCGGCUAACUACGUGCCAGCAGCCGCGGUAAUACGUAGGGCGCAAGCGUUAUCCGGAAUUAUUGGGCGUAAAGAGCUCGUAGGCGGUUUGUCGCGUCUGCUGUGAAAUCCCGAGGCUCAACCUCGGGUCUGCAGUGGGUACGGGCAGACUAGAGUGCGGUAGGGGAGAUUGGAAUUCCUGGUGUAGCGGUGGAAUGCGCAGAUAUCAGGAGGAACACCGAUGGCGAAGGCAGAUCUCUGGGCCGUUACUGACGCUGAGGAGCGAAAGGGUGGGGAGCAAACAGGCUUAGAUACCCUGGUAGUCCACCCCGUAAACGUUGGGAACUAGUUGUGGGGUCCAUUCCACGGAUUCCGUGACGCAGCUAACGCAUUAAGUUCCCCGCCUGGGGAGUACGGCCGCAAGCUAAACUCAAGGAUUGACGG